rnacentral:rRNA from 1 species
UACAGAGGUCUCAAGCGUUGUUCGGAUUCAUUGGGCGUAAAGGGUGCGUAGGUGGCGUCGUAAGUCAGGUGUGAAAUCUCGGGGCUUAACUCCGAAACUGCAUUUGAUACUGCGGUGCUUGAGGACUGGAGAGGAGACUGGAAUUCAUGGUGUAGCAGUGAAAUGCGUAGAGAUCAUGAGGAAGACCAGUGGCGAAGGCGGGUCUCUGGACAGUUCCUGACACUGAGGCACGAAGGCCAGGGGAGCAAACAGG